rnacentral:rRNA from 1 species
ACGGGUGAGUAACACGUGGGAACGUACCCUUUGGUUCGGAAUAACGCUGGGAAACUAGCGCUAAUACCGGUUACGCCCUUUUGGGGAAAGGCUUGCUGCCGAAGGAUCGGCCCGCGUCUGAUUAGCUAGUUGGUGGGGUAAUGGCCUACCAAGGCGACGAUCAGUAGCUGGUCUGAGAGGAUGAUCAGCCACACUGGGACUGAGACACGGCCCAGACUCCUACGGGAGGCAGCAGUGGGGAAUAUUGGACAAUGGGCGCAAGCCUGAUCCAGCCAUGCCGCGUGAGUGAUGAAGGCCUUAGGGUUGUAAAGCUCUUUUGUCCGGGACGCUAAUGACGGUACCGGAAGAAUAAGCCCCGGCUAACUUCGUGCCAGCAGCCGCGGUAAUACGAAGGGGGCUAGCGUUGCUCGGAAUCACUGGGCGUAAAGGGCGCGUAGGCGGCCAUUCAAGUCGGGGGUGAAAGCCUGUGGCUCAACCACAGAAUUGCCUUCGAUACUGUUUGGCUUGAGUUUGGUAGAGGUUGGUGGAACUGCGAGUGUAGAGGUGAAAUUCGUAGA